AAGAGUGCGGUGAUGAUAUCUUUUGUGGACUAGAGUUUAUGAUCUGGGCUCUUCUCCCAGGACUUGAUUACAACCCCUUGGCUGUCUGAGCACCCUUCAUCUCACUUCUCAACCAAUCUAGUUUUGAAAGAUCUUGUUUUUAAAACUACCCAUCUCUGUUUUUGUGUUGUAGCACUUCAAACUCCAAAGCUUUUGAUUGUGUUUUAGCACUUCAUGGUGUUUCUUGUUACAUGAAUCUGACUGGAGCUUAUGAUGAAAAGUUUAAAUUAUCUUAGCGGAUUUCAGUGAGGUCUUAGGAUCAAUGAUCUGAUUGUUACACACACUGAGGCUCAAGUUUUAUGUAUUUUUCUAUCUUUGUUGAGUUUACAAAGUCAAAUGUUGAAAUUGUUGGGUUGUGGUUGCUGUGAUGAGGUUAAGCACUUGGACGUGUUUUGGGCAGUGGACGAGGCUUUAGGGUCUCGCCGUGAGCUCGAUACAAAAACGACUUCUCCUUCCACUGAGCUUCUAUUCCCGCAUAAAAAGUUUCGUGUUCUUGCUUUUAUCAUCAUCUGUGGUUAGGUUUACAAAAUCAAUGUAGGAUAAUUUUUUUUUUCCAAUGUGUGAAAAUUGCGUCCUUUACCAAUUCUAGUGGAUUAUCCGUUUCACUUGAUAUAAUGGCUUGGACGCCAAAUUGACAUUGUGGCCAUUCUGAUCUGUGGAUUUUCAAUGCCAUUUGAUCCGGGAAACUCCACAAACAUCU
rnacentral:lncRNA from 1 species